UGACCCUGCCCCAAGUAGCAUAAUCAAUUGUCUUUUAAUUAAAGGCUGGAAUGAAAGGUUUGAUGAGAUAAAAUCUAUUUUUAUUUUAUAAAAAUGAAUUUAAAUUUUAAGUAAAAAUGCUUAAAUUUAAAAAUUAGACGAGAAGACCCUAUAAAUCUUUAUUUUUUAUUAUUAUAAAUUAUAAAGAAUUGUUUAAUUUAUUAUAAAAAAAAAUUUUGUUGGGGUGAUAAUGAAAUUUAAUAAACUUUUAUUAAUUUAUUAUUAAAAUUUAUAAUUUAUUUUAAUUGAUCCAUUAAUAAUGAUUAUAAAUUUAAGUUACUUUAGGGAUAACAGCGUAAUUAUUUUAGAGAGUUCUUAUCAAUAAAAUAGAUUGCGACUCUCGAUGUUGAAUUAUAGUAGUAAUUUUUAA
rnacentral:rRNA from 1 species